UCCUGUAAUACAGGACUUGUCAAAGCCUGAUCUCAUCGGAUCUCAGAAGCUAAGCAAGGCUGGACCUGGUUAGUACUUGGAUGGGAGACUGCUGGGAAUAUCAGGUGCCACAAUGGGGU
rnacentral:rRNA from 1 species